GUUCCUGCCUCUACAACCCCCAUCACAGAAGCAUUGUCACUUGUCUUCAGGCAUCUUCUCUCCCAUGGCAGCCCAUAGGAAGAAGAAAAAAGAGAAGAAAAUGACACUGAUAAUCCACAAAGAGGACUAAUACAAAUAAAAUAAGCGGGCUUAAGAAAACAGAAGAACACAGCGGACACCAGGACUCUAAGAUAGCGUCAGUUGUACCAGUGAAGGACAAGAAACUUCUGGAGGUCAAACUGGGGGAGCUGCCAAGCUGGAUCUUGAUGGGGGACUUCAGCCCUAGUGGCAUUUUCGGAGCGUUUCAAAGAGGUUACUACUGGUACUACAAGUACAUCAAUGUGAAGAAGGGGAGCAUCUCGGGGGUUACCAUGGUGCUGGCAUGCUACGUGCUCUUCAGCUACUCCUUUUCCUACAAGCAUCUCAAGCACGAGUGGCUCCGCAAAUACCACUGAAGAGGACACGCUCUGCACCCCCCCACCCCACGACCUUGGCCCGAGCCCCUCUGUGAGGAACACAAUCUCGAUCGUUGCUGAAUUCUUUCAUAUCCUAAUGGCAAUUAACCUCCAAAUAAAAGAUGACUGGUAAAAAAAAAAAAAAAAAAA
rnacentral:lncRNA from 1 species